rnacentral:rRNA from 1 species
AUUGAACGCUGGCGGCAGGCCUAACACAUGCAAGUCGAACGAGUGGCGGACGGGUGAGUAAUGUCUGGGAAACUGCCUGAUGGAGGGGGAUAACUACUGGAAACGGUAGCUAAUACCGCAUACCAUCGGAUGUGCCCAUAUGGGAUUAGCUAGUAGGUGGGGGAAAGGCUCACCUAGGCGACGAUCCCUAGCUGGUCUGAGAGGAUGACCAGCCAACCGGGAACGGAGACACGGUCCAGACUCCUACGGGAGGCAGAAGUAGGGAAUAUUGGACCAUGGGCGCAAGGCUGAUGCAGCCAUUCCGCGUGUAUGAAGAAGGCCUUCGGGGUGUAAAGUACUUUCAGCGGGGAGGCGUUACCCGCAGAAGAAGCAACGGCUAAGUCCCUGCCAGCCACGGCGGUAAUAA